rnacentral:rRNA from 1 species
UACAGAGACUGCAAGCGUUAUUCGGAUUCACUGGGCGUAAAGGGUGCGCAGGCGGUUGCGUGUGUUAGGUGUGAAAGCCCGAGGCUUAACUUCGGAAUUGCGCCUAAAACUACGUGACUAGAGCAUUGGAGAGGGUAGCGGAAUUCAUGGUGUAGCAGUGAAAUGCGUAGAUAUCAUGAGGAACACCAGAGGCGAAGGCGGCUACCUGGACAAUUGCUGACGCUCAGGCACGAAAGCGUGGGGAGCAAAA